ACAGACACAUGUAACCUUGAAGGGACUAUUUGCACAUUCCUAUAUGCAGGGAUCAGUGUAUGGUUCUCGGUCGGCAGUGACAACAGUGACAACAUGUAACAUUGAAGGGACUAUUUGCACAUUCCUAUAUGAAGGGAUCAGUGUAUGGUUCUCGGUCGGCAGUGACAACAGUGGAGUCGAUAGCUUAGGUUAUAUACCAUAUAAGUUUUUACCAUACAGGUAGAUAUUUUCAAGUGCCAGGCGAGCAUAUACUGAAAGUAGUUGUGGUGUUGGUGCCAUGGAGUUCCUAGACUAACCCUAGCUAGGCUAAGGGUAUUUGUAAACAUGGUGGACCCAUCACCUACCUGCCACUGAUGACAGGUAGAUGUCUCACUAACGACAGGAUAGAAAGCAUGCCGUUACACUGAGAGGGUCUGUUUGAAAAUACUGAUGCACCUAACUACAUACCAUCGUCAGAGCUUUAAGUAUGAUGCACUUUUGGUUAUACAGUCACAAUCUUGCCUGUAUCAAGUUGAUAUGAUGGGUAAGCAUGUUUUUAUUACUAUGAUGGAACAUUUUUUCUCUCUUUAAAUACACGUUAAAUAUACAACUCUGCAUUUCAAUGUAAUAUUCCAUCACAGUGCAUUAAAGGUACACUAUACUAUAUGGUCUGGUGCUCAUAUCAAAUCAAGGUCUAGACCUUGUAUUAAAGGAAACUAUCAAGCGAUAUCUGAAGGCAUGCAGAUCUAAAGUAACAUGUGACAGAUUUAUCCAGGAUUCCAGACUAAUAGCCCUUGGCAAUUUUGAGGGAAAAAUUGUUACUUUGCUCAAAUUGGUCACUGAAAUGCAAGUCAAUUCUGCAAAGCCUUAUCAACAGUUAUUACUAUACAACAUGAACUGGGAAAUAUUUAGUUGGGAAUUUGUAUUUACAUUUACUGCAGACUUUAAUUAUCAACCUCUGAGCAGGUCUAGAUAAAUCCCUAUGUGACCUCACUAUGUCACAACAAAAUUCCCUUAUUGCACACCGUGUCCUCCUGUAGAGCAUCAUUGUACAAUUAUACAAGUCUCACAAAACAAACCAAUUAGUCAGCUAUCUGUCAUGGUUCAUCUUUGAGACCAUAUGUUUCCUUUUCUUGUGUAACAAAUUUGCAGGAGGGAUACACCACAAUGACUGUUUCAUGUCGUAUCUUGCACAAGCACAGUUUUUUUUAUUAUUCUGUGCCCAUAUCAGAUAUAAGAUAAUUUCAUCACGCUCAUACACAAUCACAUGAUUGCGGAAGAGUCUGUGCAUGAUCACAUGAACACCUCUACUGUCCAUCAUAGACCAAUUAGGUCACACUAUAAAAAAUUGAAGCUAUGGAUUAUUGUCAAUACAUCAGGGGAAAUGAAAAACUAGAUCAUUAUGAAAAAAAUACAUAAAUAUUUUAUGCUUAUGCGGCAAAUAUAAUCAUUUGACAUUUUUUUUAAGUAAUUGAUUGUAAGCAGAUCAGAUAACAAGUACCAGAUGACACGGAAGUAGAGAUGAUUAUCUGCCCUCUUCAUGCUCCUCCUGACUAUCCAACUGCUGUGCAUCCCGACCACGUGAAAGGAGGAAGUAGUUCUGUGUGCAUCCACCCCCAGACUAGCGGCAGUCAUGCAGUCUUGUCAAUGGCAGUUUUAUAAUUUAUGUCCACAAUGCUGUUUGUGAAUACUGUCCAUAAGUCAUAUAUUUUUUAACUGUUUUUCCUUCUAUGGCGAUGUUCUCCCUUGUUUAUAUGUUUUCACAUCAUGUGACAAGAGUCAGCCCUAAUUCAUUUGUAAAUUUAAUUGUCAAAAGAAAUAAAUGCUGCUCAUUUUACAAAUUAUGCCUAUUUCAACCAACCUUGUUCAUGGUGUUGUUUCAACCUUUUUCAAAAUGAUUGUUUUUUUAAUACAAAAUCAUGUUUAUGUUUAAACGAAUACACAUGCAAUAUACCUCUUAAGUUUGAGGUCUAACCCAUUCAUCAUA